UGCUAGUGGGUCCCGGCCGCCUGCAGGGCGGAAUAUGGGAGAGUGACCUGGCGUUGGAUGCGGAUAUGGCGGAUUCUCUGGGUCUCCUCCGGAUAUUGCCGUAAUAAUGGUGUUCUGGGUUUCCAAAAAUUUAUCGGUGCGAGAUGGGCCCGCGGCCUAUCAGCUUGUUGGUGAGGUAACGGCUCACCAAGGCGACGACGGGUAGCCGACCUGAGAGGGUGACCGGCCACGCUGGGACUGAGACACGGCCCAGACUCCUACGGGAGGCAGCAGUGGGGAAUAUUGCACAAUGGGCGCAAGCCUGAUGCAGCGACGCCGCGUGCGGGAUGACGGCCUUCGGGUUGUAAACCGCUUUUGACAGGGACGAAGCGCAAGUGACUGUACCUGUAGAAUAAGGACCGGCCAACUACGUGCCAGCAGCCGCGGUAAUACGUAGGGUCCGAGCGUUGUCCGGAAUUACUGGGCGUAAAGAGCUUGUAGGCGGUUCGUCGCGUCGUUUGUGAAAACUUGGGGCUCAACCUUAAGCUUGCAGGCGAUACGGGCGGACUAGAGUACUUCAGGGGAGACUGGAAUUCCUGGUGUAGCGGUGAAAUGCGCAGAUAUCAGGAGGAACACCGGUGGCGAAGGCGGGUCUCUGGGAAGUAACUGACGCUGAGAAGCGAAAGCAUGGGUAGCAAACAGGAUUAGAUACCCUGGUAGUCCAUGCCGUAAACGGUGGGUACUGGGUGUGGGGCUCCUUCCACGGACUCCGUGCCGUAGCUAACGCAUUAAGUACCCCGCCUGGGGAGUACGGCCGCAAGGCUAAAACUCAAAUGAAUUGACGGGG
rnacentral:rRNA from 1 species